UAAGAGCCUUUUGCAAGUAACAAGUAAGAUAGAUAUUGCCCUGUUCUUCUGGAACUUGAAGGGAGGAGAGAUUGUUGGCCAGGCUACCAAGAUGUCAGCGGGGUGUGGAUGUCGUGGGUGAUAGAGGUGAUGUUUAAGCCAAAACCCAAAGGAGAUGAAUCUCAGAUCUGAGGAUAUGGUAAUGGUUAUGCUUGGCAUUGAGGUUUGUUCUGAAGAUCAGAGAAUAUGAAUGAGCUCUAUUUUUGAACCAUGUAAACUUAGACUAAAUUAGGGACUUUUGGAAAUGGAACCAAUACUUUCGGGCCGAUAAUCUCUCAGUGACAUUAUCCACCUGGGUGCCUUCGACUACCACUUGUACGCUGAUGAUUGCCUCAUUCAUAUGUCUGUCCAAGAUCUUACAUCUCAACUGCCUGUUGGGAACUUCCACGAGGAAGUAUGUCAGCAUCUAGCAUUGCUAUCCUACCCAUAAGAACCAAUCAACAAAUAGUGGUGGCUGUUGAAUGAUUCAGUAUGACAUCAUAAUUACUGGAGUUUACUGAAGAAUCGAGGGCUAUAGUGGAUUAUGUCAAAUGCUGUGGUUUUGUAAUGAUGGAGCUUUCAUGCUGUGGCCAUUCUGAACAUUCCUUCUUUGAUUGUCAUUUGCCAAUUCUUGAUCCUUCAGUGUAUCUGUCCAUGGUAGCUAAAUCUUUUUCUGAUUUGGUAAGUUUCAUGUACUUUUUGUUUGCUUCUCAAGUGAGAAUGUGAGAAUAUUCUAUUUGUGGCUAGAACUAUUUGCUUCUAAGUUUGCUGAUUCUAUUAAAGAACUGAUUAAAUGUGAUGAUUAAUUUUAUAGCA